GAUGAAGAACGUAGUGAAAUGCGAUAAGUAAUGCGAAUUGCAGAAUUCAGUGAAUCAUCGAAUCUUUGAACGCACAUUGCGCCCGCUAGUAUUCUGGCGGGCAUGCCUGUCUGAGCGUCAUUUCAACCCUCGCCCCCGGCUUUUGCUGGGAGCGGUGUUGGGGAUCGGCCGCCCGUCACUGGGAGGCCGGCCCCGAAAUAGAGUGGCGACCACGCCGUGUGCUCCUCUGCGUAGUAGUAAAUCACCUCGCAGGCGGACAGCGGUGCGGCCUGCCGUAAAACCCCCAACUCUUUCUGGUUGACCUCAGAUCAGGUAGGAAUACCCGCUGAACUUAAGCAUAUCAAUAAGCGGAGGA
rnacentral:misc_RNA from 1 species